GGAGUCUGGGCCGUGUCUCAGUCCCAGUCGUGGAUGAUCAUCCUCUCAAACCAUCUAACGAUCGUCGACUUGGUGAGCCAUUACCUCACCAACUAUCUAAUCGUACGCAGGCCAGUCCCAAACCGUCCGAAGACUUUAAUCCGAAGAUCACAUGCGGUAUUAGCCACUCUUUCGAGUAGUUAUCCCUCAGUUUGGGGUCCGUUCCCACGCGUUACUCAGCCCGUCCGCCGCUCGCCGACAGAUCUCAUUCUAUUCUCGAAAGCUUCAAGAACAGGAUGAGAUCCUCGCUGCCGCUCGACUUGCAUGUAUUAGGCAUGCCGCCAGCAUUCAUC
rnacentral:rRNA from 1 species